rnacentral:rRNA from 1 species
UACGUAGGGUCCGAGCGUUGUCCGGAAUUAUUGGGCGUAAAGAGCUCGUAGGCGGUCUGUCGCGUCGGCUGUGAAACCCCGGGGCUCAACCCCGGGCCUGCAGUCGAUACGGGCAGACUAGAGUGCGGUAGGGGAGACUGGAAUUCCUGGUGUAGCGGUGGAAUGCGCAGAUAUCAGGAGGAACACCGAUGGCGAAGGCAGGUCUCUGGGCCGCAACUGACGCUGAGGAGCGAAAGCAUGGGGAGCGAACAGG